rnacentral:tRNA from 1 species
GGUUCUAUGGUGUAAUGGUUAGCACUCUGAAUCCAGUGAUCUGAUUUCAAGUCUCAGUAGAACUU